AACGAACGCUGGCGGCAUGCCUAACACAUGCCAGUCGAACGAGACCUUCGGGUCUAGUGGCGCACGGGUGCGUAACGCGUGGGAACCUGCCCUUAGGUUCGGAAUAACUCCCCGACAGGGGUGCUAAUACCGGAUAAUGUCUUCGGCCCAAAGAUUUAUCGCCUUUGGAUGGGCCCGCGUUGGAUUAGCUAGUUGGUAGGGUAAAAGCCUACCAAGGCGACGAUCCAUAGCUGGUCUGAGAGGAUGAUCAGCCACACUGGGACUGAGACACGGCCCAGACUCCUACGGGAGGCAGCAGUGGGGAAUAUUGGACAAUGGGCGAAAGCCUGAUCCAGCAAUGCCGCGUGAGUGAUGAAGGCCUGAGGGUUGUAAAGCUCUUUUACCCGGGAUGAUAAUGACAGUACCGGGAGAAUAAGCUCCGGCUAACUCCGUG
rnacentral:rRNA from 1 species